UACGGAGGGUGCAAGCGUUAAUCGGAAUUACUGGGCGUAAAGCGUGCGUAGGUGGUUAAUUAAGUUAUCUGUGAAAUCCCUGGGCUCAACCUGGGCAGGUCAGAUAAAACUGAUCAACUCGAGUAUAGGAGAGGGUAGUGGAAUUUCCGGUGUAGCGGUGAAAUGCGUAGAGAUCGGAAGGAACACCAGUGGCGAAGGCGGCUACCUGGCCUAAUACUGACACUGAGGCACGAAAGCGUGGGGAGCAAACAGG
rnacentral:rRNA from 1 species